GGCUCGCAGGCGGUUUCUUAAGUCUGAUGUGAAAGCCCCCGGCUCAACCGGGGAGGGUCAUUGGAAACUGGGGAACUUGAGUGCAGAAGAGGAGAGUGGAAUUCCACGUGUAGCGGUGAAAUGCGUAGAGAUGUGGAGGAACACCAGUGGCGAAGGCGACUCUCUGGUCUGUAACUGACGCUGAGGAGCGAAAGCGUGGGGAGCGAACAGGAUUAGAUACCCUGGUAGUCCACGCCGUAAACGAUGAGUGCUAAGUGUUAGGGGGUUUCCGCCCCUUAGUGCUGCAGCUAACGCAUUAAGCACUCCGCCUGGGGAGUACGGUCGCAAGACUGAAACUCAAAGGAAUUGACGGGGGCCCGCACAAGCGGUGGAGCAUGUGGUUUAAUUCGAAGCAACGCGAAGAACCUUACCAGGUCUUGACAUCCUCUGACAAUCCUAGAGAUAGGACGUCCCCUUCGGGGGCAGAGUGACAGGUGGUGCAUGGUUGUCGUCAGCUCGUGUCGUGAGAUGUUGGGUUAAGUCCCGCAACGAGCGCAACCCUUGAUCUUAGUUGCCAGCAUUCAGUUGGGCACUCUAAGGUGACUGCCGGUGACAAACCGGAGGAAGGUGGGGAUGAC
rnacentral:rRNA from 1 species